UAUUGCUCUGCACAGCUCCCUGACAGGAGGCAGGUCGAGCUCCCAGACACCAGUGACAGGACAAGAGCACCCAGUGUUAAGCUGCGCCAGGGGAGGUUCAGGUUGGACAUUUGGAAGAAUUUCCUUACACAAGAGGAUCUUCAUGUAACUGGCUGAGAAAUGGUUCUGCAAGAUGACAGCACCAGCUCUAAGACUGUUGGAAUGGAGACUAUCUUCACUUUGACAUGAAGUGUGAAGUUUGUUAGUCACCACUUUUGUUUCUUUUUUACAGUUAUUGUGGAAGGUAAUAUGAGAAAAGCCUUGAUCUUGUGUGUUCAUUUCUAUCAGAGCAUAUAACCCUCAAUGUACAGAAGCCAAACAUAAAAGUAUGGAAUUACAUUUCAUUGCAAGUUAGUGAG
rnacentral:lncRNA from 1 species